CAAACCUCGUGCCCACAUUAU
rnacentral:siRNA from 1 species